rnacentral:rRNA from 1 species
UUCCAGACUCCUACGGGAGGCAGCAGUGGGGGAUAUUGCACAAUGGGGGGAACCCUGAUGCAGCGACGCCGCGUGGGUGAAGGAGUAUUUCGGUAUGUAAAGCCCUAUCGGCAGGGAAGAAGAAAGACGGUACCUGACUAAGAAGCCCCGGCUAACUACGUGCCAGCAGCCGCGGUAAUACGUAGGGGGCGAGCGUUAUCCGGAUUCACUGGGUGUAAAGGGAGCGUAGACGGCCAAGCAAGCCAGGGGUGAAAGCCCGGGGCCCAACCCCGGGACUGCCCUUGGAACUGCAUGGCUGGAGUGCGGGAGGGGCAGGCGGAAUUCCUGGUGUAGCGGUGAAAUGCGUAGAUAUCAUGAAGAACUCCGAUCGCGAAGGCAAGUGUCCGGGGUGCAACUGACGCUGAGGCUCGAAAGUGCGGGUAUCAAACAGGAUUAGAUACCCUCGUA